AGCCCCGGUCAAUGAGCAAAGAGACAUCUUGGUGGUGGUGCUCUUGUCAGUCUGGGGCAGAGCAGAUGGCAGUUACAUGUUCAUCCUAGAUUGAUACCUGGCUUGGUGGACAAAACAGUUUCAUGCCUAGGACUCAUAA